rnacentral:rRNA from 1 species
CCCUUAGAUGUUCUGGGCCGCACACGCGCUACACUGAAGGAGGCAGCGUGUACUCCUGGAUCGAAAGAUUUGGGUAACCCGCGAAUCUCCUUCGUGCUAGGGAUUGAGGUUUGCAAUUAUCCUUCAUGAACGAGGAAUUCCCAGUAAGUGCAAGUCAUAAGCUUGCGCUGACUACGUCCCUGCCCUUUGUACACACCGCCCGUCGCUCCUACCGAUUGAAUGAUCCGGUGAGGCCCCCGGACUGUGGCAACGCAGCUGGUUCGCCAGCCGCGAUGCCGCGGGAAGCUGUCCAAACCUUAUCAUUUAGAGGAAGGAGAAGUCGUAACA